rnacentral:rRNA from 1 species
CUACGGGGCGCACCAGUGGGGGAUAUUGCACAAUGGGCGAAAGCCUGAUGCAGCAACGCCGCGUGAAGGAUGACGGAUUUCGGUCUGUAAACUUCUAUCAGCAGGGAAGAAAAUGACGGUACCUGACUAAGAAGCCCCGGCUAACUACGUGCCAGCAGCCGCGGUAAUACGUAGGGGGCAAGCGUUAUCCGGAAUUACUGGGUGUAAAGGGUACGUAGGCGGCUGAUCAAGUCAGAUGUGAAAGCCCGGAGCUCAACUCCGGGAUUGCAUUUGAAACUGGUCGGCUAGAGUGCAGGAGAGGAAAGUGGAAUUCCUAGUGUAGCGGUGAAAUGCGUAGAUAUUAGGAAGAACACCAGUGGCGAAGGCGGCUUUCUGGACUGUAACUGACGCUGAGGUACGAAAGCGUGGGGAGCGAACAGGAUUAGAUACCCCCGUAGUC